rnacentral:rRNA from 1 species
AUGGGUUUUAUUCGGGCCCGUGGGAUCGCUGAAAACUUUUUUCAUUCUGCGGACAUUGUCCAAACUUGUUUUAAACGACGCCUCCCCACAAUCGUCAUCAAGCUAGAUUUCCACAAGGCUUUCGACUCUGUGUCUUGGGUCGCCCUUGCCGUGAUCUUACGCGCAAAAGGUUUUCCACCAUCCUGGUGCCAUUGGGUCGACCACCUAAACUCUUCGUCCACCUCGACCGUGUUACUGAACGGCAAGCCAGGCCCUUGGUUCCCGUGUCGGCAAGGCCUGUGGCAGGGUGACCCUUUCUCCCCCUAUCUUUUCAUUAUUGUAGCUGAUGUCCUCAAGCGCCUAAUU